ensembl:snRNA U7 U7 small nuclear RNA
GAAUGGUUACAGCUCUUUUAGAAUUUGUCUAGCAGGUUUUCUGACUUCCGUCGGAAAACCCAA